rnacentral:rRNA from 1 species
CUUGCUCCCUGAUGUUAGCGGCGGACGGGUGAGUAACACGUGGGUAACCUGCCUGUAAGACUGGGAUAACUCCGGGAAACCGGGGCUAAUACCGGAUGCUUGUUUGAACCGCAUGGUUCAAACAUAAAAGGUGGCUUCGGCUACCACUUACAGAUGGACCCGCGGCGCAUUAGCUAGUUGGUGAGGUAAUGGCUCACCAAGGCAACGAUGCGUAGCCGACCUGAGAGGGUGAUCGGCCACACUGGGACUGAGACACGGCCCAGACUCCUACGGGAGGCAGCAGUAGGGAAUCUUCCGCAAUGGACGAAAGUCUGACGGAGCAACGCCGCGUGAGUGAUGAAGGUUUUCGGAUCGUAAAGCUCUGUUGUUAGGGAAGAACAAGUAUCGUUCGAAUAGGGCGGUACCUUGACGGUACCUAACCAGAAAGCCACGGCUAACUACGUGCCAGCAGCCGCGGUAAUACGUAGGUGGCAAGCGUUGUCCGGAAUUAUUGGGCGUAAAGGGCUCGCAGGCGGUUUCUUAAGUCUGAUGUGAAAGCCCCCGGCUCAACCGGGGAGGGUCAUUGGAAACUGGGGAACUUGAGUGCAGAAGAGGAGAGUGGAAUUCCACGUGUAGCGGUGAAAUGCGUAGAGAUGUGGAGGAACACCAGUGGCGAAGGCGACUCUCUGGUCUGUAACUGACGCUGAGGAGCGAAAGCGUGGGGAGCGAACAGGAUUAGAUACCCUGGUAGUCCACGCCGUAAACGAUGAGUGCUAAGUGUUUAGGGGGUUUCCGCCCCUUAGUGCUGCAGCUAACGCAUUAAGCACUCCGCCUGGGGGAGUACGGUCGCAAGACUGAAACUCAAAGGAAUUGACGGGGGCCCGCACAAGCGGUGGAAGCAUGUGGUUUAAUUCNAAGCAACGCGAAGAACCUUACCAGGUCUUGACAUCCUCUGACAAUCCUAGAAGAUAGGACGUCCCCUUCGGGGGCAGAGUGACAGGUGGUGCAUGGUUGUCGUCAGCUCGUGUCGUGAGAUGUUGGGUUAAGUCCCGCAACGAGCGCAACCCUUGAUCUUAGUUGCCAGCAUUCAGUUGGGCACUCUAAGGUGACUGCCGGUGACAAACCGGAGGAAGGUGGGGGAUGACGUCAAAUCAUCAUGGCCCCUUAUGACCUGGGCUACACACGUGCUUACAAUGGACAGAACAAAGGGCAGCGAAACCCGCGAGGUUAAGCCAAUCCCACAAAUCUGUUCUCAGUUCGGAUCGCAGUCUGCAACUCGACUGCGUGGAAGCUGGAAUCGCUAGUAAUCGCGGANNAGCAUGCCCGCGGUGAAUACGUUCCCGGGCCUUGUACACCACCGCCCGUCACACCACGAGAUGUUUGUAACACCCGAAAGUCGGUGGAGGUNAACCUUUAGGAGCCAGCCGCCNNAA